rnacentral:rRNA from 1 species
GUGAGGAAUAUUGGACAAUGGGCGCAAGCCUGAUCCAACCAUGCCGCGUGCAGGAAGAAGCAUCUAUGGUGUGUAAACUGCUUUUGUACGGGAAGAAAAAACGCUACGUGUAGUGUACUGACGGUACCGUAAGAAUAAGGAUCGGCUAACUCCGUGCCAGCAGCCGCGGUAAUACGGAGGAUCCAAGCGUUAUCCGGAAUCAUUGGGUUUAAAGGGUCCGUAGGCGGCCUUAUAAGUCAGCGGUGAAAGUUUUUGGCUUAACCAAAAAAUUGCCAUUGAUACUGUAGGGCUUGAAUAUUUGUGAAGUAACUAGAAUAUGUAGUGUAGCGGUGAAAUGCUUAGAUAUUACAUGGAAUACCAAUUGCGAAGGCAGGUUACUAACAAAUGAUUGACGCUGAUGGACGAAAGCGUGGGUAGCGAACAGGAUUAGAUACCCGGGUAGUCC